UACGGAGGGGGCUAGCGUUGUUCGGAAUUACUGGGCGUAAAGCGCACGUAGGCGGCUUUGUAAGUAAGAGGUGAAAGCCCGGAGCUCAACUCCGGAACUGCCUUUUAGACUGCAUCGCUUGAAUCCAGGAGAGGUGAGUGGAAUUCCGAGUGUAGAGGUGAAAUUCGUAGAUAUUCGGAAGAACACCAGUGGCGAAGGCGGCUCACUGGACUGGUAUUGACGCUGAGGUGCGAAAGCGUGGGGAGCAAACAGG
rnacentral:rRNA from 1 species